UUUAGUUAUCCAAUUAGCGUCCAAAACUUUAUAGUUAUGGUACGGCAGCGACGCGCCUAUUGCGGAAUCCUUUAGUAAAUAAUCGCCUAAAUGGAAUUUCCCAGCCGCGGCGGCGACCGCCCCGGUGACGGAGACGAUAAUGCUGCUGCACGCGUAAAGGGAAAAGGCGAAGGAAGGCUCGCCAACGCGAUCAUGGAAAAAAGGAUAGAACUCUGCAGGCCCUCAUCAAGCUUAAUAUUCUGGCGUUUUGCCCUAACACUGUUUGACGGCUUAAGAUGCUUGAUAAGCCAAUUUACGUUUGUCUUAACUCUCGAGUCAAAACAUGCGGGCUUGAAGCUAGUUAUACAUGUAGAGAAUGGUAUGCCUGAUGUUUAACAAUGGUGGUAAAUGAAUGAGAGGCAAAUGGAAGAAACGUAUAGGGGAGGCAGAUCUAUGAACGAAGUAAAGUGGGACAUAAAGUUAGGGACUCUCCGCCUGUUUAACAAGAAGAGAUCUGAAUUUACAUUUAAAGGGCAGACUCGAACUUAAUUGGAGAUUGAGAUCUAUUCCAUCAAGGAAUGUAGUGAGGAGUCCUCUUGUAGUAAAGUCUAUUACUGUUAGAUUAUUGUUGAGUUGAAAGGAUGAACAGUCAAGAGUUGGAGCUCAGCUUAUGCAGGUUUCUUAAGGACUGGGUGCGCUCAGACAUGGGGCACCAGAAGAGAAAUGGGCCCUUUGCAGCCUGCAACUUCUUGUUGUAAUUAUCAUUUACCUCUUAUGAAUUUAGGUAUAUAAAUGUCCUUAAUUGAAGAUUGUCUUUCUAAGUUGAUCAAUGGAGUGGAUAAUUUUGUUUUCCAUAAUCAAGUCUCAUGGAGAUUUGCUUUCA